UUUACAUUUCCUGUGGGGAGGACACUUCGUGGGUCAUAUAACACAGAAUUGCUCUUCACAGAACAGAGACCUUAUGCAUUGGCAGGAAAAAGACUGGAGGCUGACAGGGCUGAUAACACUGAAACAAUACGUAGUUAUGACACCCAAUAGCUCUUUAUUCCUGGAAAAACUUCACAAAGAUGAACAAAAUCUCAGAGUCCCACAAGAGCAUGCUACUGGGCAGCAUGGAGCUCCACGACACUUACUGAGCAGCCAAAGACAGAAGGCAGGCAGCUGGAACACACAACAGCCACUCAGCCUAUCAGCACAGAGAAGAAAGAUGGCAGAAAACCCUUUGCAGCAGUGUUUACACUUGGAAGGGAGAGAGGACAACAGAAGAAGGCAGUAAAGAGAGAAGAUCAAAGGCUCCUUCCUAAGAAAUUACGCUGUUAACCAAUCCAUGCUUGAGAUUUCAAGGAGGCAUUCAGUUGCACCCAUGAAAUGAUUCGCCAAAGCCACUCUCCAACCAUGUGUAUCCCAAGCAGGAAGCUACGUAACACAGAAGAGGUAAGCUACUUGAACAAUUAUAUAGCCCUCACAAAUCUCAUGAAAAUAUUCAGUAAAUCAGUUUAAGGUAUUAAAUAAGUGUCUAGAAUGGACUUUUGUCUUUCGAGCUUUCAAGUCACCAAACAUUUCACUUCCUUUAACAGCAAACUGCUGACUGGAAAUCCCAUGGAAAGGUAUGGGCUCUCUGCAGUGUUUUUUUUAAUAUGGGUUUUGGCCACCUGGAUGUUCCCUGUACAGAAACAAGAGCACAGAGAACGCAGAGUGCCACAGCAGCAUUAUUUCCCCAGAAGACACAAAAACCCUGUAGCUACACCACAGUUCUCACACAAGUUUUUUUCCACUUAAGUCUGGGGGCAGAAACAAGGCAAAAAGCAGAACAUGCUGUGUUUACUGCACAUUAUGAGUGAAGGAGGAUGCCUGUGUAGAACCUGACUUGAACCCUCUGGACAGAGAACCUUCCCACAAUAUUAACAAGACUCUGUUUUUUGUGACCUGAGAAAACAUGCACUGCUAAUUUUGGAUUUCUGAUUUUUCUCUAACUGGACAUAUAGCAAUAGGCUUUUCACAUGAAAUGAAUUACAAGACAACUGCACCCAUAGGGACAGCUCACGGGUAGGUAACAUUCAGGUGGAGUUAACUUCAAUCAUCUGUUAAUUUCCCUUAAUUAAGGACUUUGCACCAAGAUCUAACAGAUCCAUGUAUGACUGGAACUCUAUUAGCUGCUACUUGAGGCUUUAACUCAAGUUGUCUUCAACUAGUAAUACUAAAGCUUAUCUUCAAGCAAAAAGAACGAACAGCAGCAUAUUGCUAAUAAACCUGGCAAGUGUGCCUGAGCGCUACCCAAAGGAAUCUUUAGAAGCGGCCAUCCUGCUUUUGGGGUUAGAGAUCUAUACAGAGCACAGCCAGGAGGCCAACAGAAAAGCAAGUGGACUCUGUGAAAACGCAAGAAUAAGUUGAGAAACUAAGUAUAAAACAGAGCAGCCUCCUAACCACAUACAGUUAUAUCCAAAUUGAAUGCCUAAGGAAAAUGAUUUAGUUAAAUACUAAGUCAUGGUUAUUCAAUCUACGUAAAUAGUUUGCAACGUGACUUAAUCCUAAUACUUUUAAAAUGCAUAGCAGGGGUUUGCAUUGCAAUUGAACUCUUUACACUCAAAAAGGGCACAUCCUGCUCACUGAUCUUGAUGCAUCCUCAUCUGAAAUGAGUUAACCUGUAGAACUAUAUUGACUUAAGAACGUAGUUGCAAUUGUUAAGAUCGAACAUUUUAACAUCAGCCAAACCAGAUAAGAUGGCAGAAAUAAGUUUAACGCACUGCAUAGCAACCUCCCAGACAAAACAUAGUCAUUUCCAUCCUUAUUAAUUAGUUUAUUCCCAUUUAAAAUAUACAACUUUGAAAAAUUAUGCAUAAUACAUUCAAAUUUGAAUUGCAUUCUUAAGCAUCCUGAUAACCAAACAGCCGAUUUCUGGCCAGUAUAAUACAAGACAGUCAACACACUUUGUUUAUGGCCACAAGAGAAAACUCUGCAGAAAUUAACAUUUAUUAUCUGAUAUUGCAGCUCAUCCUUGAACACUUACAUGUAGGAGUCCAUUUCAGUAGAUCCUUUCUUCCCCCCCAAAUACUUUCUUGUUCCUGUAAGACAAAAAUAAUACCACAAAGAUCCCAAAAAGGGCAAAAAAAAAAAGUGUAGGUCAGCUAUUUUAGAUAUAGCAUUAAC